rnacentral:lncRNA from 1 species
CAUCCCUAAUCCACAGUAGGCAUCACCAUCACCGCCACCAUCAUUUUGAAACUAUCAAAAAACCCACCUCUAAACUGCUGCUUGCUGUCUGUCUUGUCUGUCUUCCAUUAGCCAGAUCAAGUCACUGUGACAUCAUCUGCCACACUAACAUUGAAAUUGGGUCGAGCAACAUUGCUGGGGUGGAGAUUGUACCGAGUCAAGCGACGACGG